UGAUGACGAGACGCUAAGGCGUUGAAGUGGUGUAUGUCAGACUUCCAAGAAAAGCUCGCAAUGUCAUAGAUAAAAAAUGCCUGUACCAUAACCGACACAGGUGGGUAGGUAGAGUAUACUAAGGGGCGCGAGAUAACUCUCUCUAAGGAACUCGGCAAAAUGACUCCGUAACUUCGGGAGAAGGAGUGCCUUAUUUAUAAGGUUGCAAUAACAAGAUCCAAGCAACUGUUUAUCAAAAACACAGGUCUCCGCUAAGUCGUAAGACGAUGUAUGGGGGCUGACGCCUGCCCAGUGCCAGAAGGUUAAAGAAGUUGGUUAGUGUAAGCGAAGCUGAUAACUGAAGCCCUGGUGAACGGCGGCCGUAACAAUAACGGUCCUAAGGUAGCGAAAUUCCUUGUCGGGUAAGUUCCGACCCGCACGAAAGGCGUAAUGAUUUGGAUACUGUCUCGGAGAGAGGCUCGGUGAAAUAGACUUGUCUGUGAAGAUGCGGACUACCUGCACCAGGACAGAAAGACCCUAUGAAGCUUUACUGUAACUUGAAAUUGGAAUUGGACUUUGCUUGCGCAGUAUAGGUGGGAAGCGUUGAAGAUACUCUUGCGGGACUAUUGGAGCUAUCAGUGAGAUACCACUCUUGUAAUGUUAGAUUUCUAACUUUGAACCAUAAUCUGGUCAAAGAACAGUUUCAGGCGGGCAGUUUGACUGGGGCGGUCGCCUCCUAAAUGGUAACGGAGGCGUACAAAGGUUUCCUCUGAACGGAUAGAAAUCGUAUCUAGAGUGUAAAGGCAUAAGGAAGCUUGACUGUGAGACCUACAAGUCGAGCAGGGACGAAAGUCGGUCUUAGUGAUCUGACGGUACUGAGUGGAAAGGCCGUCACUCAACGGAUAAAAGUUACUCUAGGAUAACAGGCUGAUCUCCCCCAAGAGUUCACAUCGACGGGGAGGUUUGGCACCUCGAUGUCGGCUCAUCGCAUCCUGGGGCGGUAGUACGUCCCAAGGGUUGGGCUGUUCGCCCAUGAAAGCGGUACGCGAGCUGGGUUCAGAACGUCGUGAGACAGUUCGGUCCAUAUCCGGUGUAGGCGUUAGAAUAUUGAGAGGAGCCUUCUUUAGUACGAGAGGACCGAGAAGGACACACCGCUGGUGUACCAGUUAUCGUGCCAACGGUAAACGCUGGGUAGCUAUGUGUGGAGAGGAUAACCGCUGAAAGCAUCUAAGUGGGAAGCCCACCUCAAGAUGAG
rnacentral:rRNA from 1 species